rnacentral:lncRNA from 1 species
CAUACCUCCAGGCCAGAAAUGGGUGUGGCUGCUGAAUAAUUCAUAGAAAUUCAUAGAGAGGUUAGAGGAGGGGUGGUGUGGAGAGAAGACUGAAUUUCUGUUCCCGAAUCUAACAGUGAGAAGCAUUUGAAGCCAGAGCCCACCAGAACAUGAGGCUAACCUACAACCAGCUUAUCUUGCCUGGACUGCUAAAGACCAUAUUAAUAUCUUGUAGCCAUUAUUUAAAAACUUAACAGAUACAAAGCUCUGUUUCAGCCAGUCAAUUGAUAUGUAUUUAUUGGGCAGCUGGCUGGCAGUCACAUGAUCUGGGCUCAUAAUCUGGCUGUGAAGAUAAGAUGGCCCCACGGAACUACUUUUUGCUGCGGAUGGGUGACACUCUUCUCUUGAGGCUGGACUGAGAACAUUCAACUCAUUUCAUCCCAGAGGUGGCUGUGAAGGAGCAGCUAUGGUGGCUGUGAUGAUCUGAAUUACAGUGUCACUCUGCCAACAAGAUCACAACUUCCAGUUCACAAUACAACAGGAAAAGAUGCUCUGCUUGCUUAUAUAAAGGUCUAAAAGGAGGAGAAAUGAAGAGUUCUGGGAGCGAUAGAUACUGGUCACACUUGCUUUAGGUAUGUCACUAAAGAAGAACCAUAAACAGCAUCUGAAUCUCCAGUUUAGUCAGAGAAACCAGAAGAGAAGAAAAAGAACUUCCCAGGAAGCUGACCCACCCUGGAGGACAACAUGCCUUGGCGUGCAGCAGUGGUCACUGUACACAGGGGAGAAGCUGGCUCAGCAGCGCCCCCCCAGGACAGGACAGGCAUCAGGCUGGGCUCCCCUGUCCGUGGCUCUGCCAGCAGUCGUGAGGCUGGGCCAGACUUCUGUCUUGCCUCCCCAUCCUUUGCAGAAGAGGGACAGCGAAAAGAAUCUGACGGAG